AACGAACGCUGGCGGCAGGCCUAACACAUGCAAGUCGAGCGCACUCUUCGGAGUGAGCGGCGGACGGGUUAGUAACGCGUGGGAAUAUACCCAGAUCUACGGAAUAGCCUUUGGAAACGAAGAGUAAUACCGUAUACGCCCUUCGGGGGAAAGAUUUAUCGGAUUUGGAUUAGCCCGCGUUAGAUUAGAUAGUUGGUGGGGUAACGGCCUACCAAGUCGACGAUCUAUAGCUGGUUUGAGAGGAUGAUCAGCAACACUGGGACUGAGACACGGCCCAGACUCCUACGGGAGGCAGCAGUGGGGAAUCUUGGACAAUGGGCGCAAGCCUGAUCCAGCCAUGCCGCGUGAGUGAUGAAGGCCUUAGGGUCGUAAAGCUCUUUCGCCAGGGAUGAUAAUGACAGUACCUGGUAAAGAAACCCCGGCUAACUCCGUG
rnacentral:rRNA from 1 species